UGCGCUAUGGCUUGUCCACAGAUUUCAGCCCCGCCUCUGUCGCAGUUCAUGGCGAAAUCCAUGGCGGAUCGUGCACUUCAGAGCUCUCUAUAAAAUCCAGGGCUGACAUUACAUUCAUAGGAAGUGAAAAAAAAAAUGUUUUUACCAAUAGCUCCUUUUUUACGAUAACUUGAGGUGGUGAAGUUUGGAGAGAAGAUCAAACCCUCCUUGUUCAUCGUUAGUCAGCCUUCAUUCUCCUUCACUGCCUUCGACCCCUGACUGUUAGUAGGGGCUGUUGAUGAACCCCAUUUCGUUUACUCCGUGUGUCAUUCAGUUCAAGCUAUCAGAUCUGAGGGUUUCCUUUAUUUAUGAGCUUAUCUCUAACUAUUUCACCUCAAAUCUUUGUGGGUGUGCCUUAAAUUUCAUUUUUGGCUCCUUGCAUGGCCGCUUUCUUUAGUAAUAAGCACUCUGAUUCUUUGAUCGUUCAUGUUUUGUUUUUGUUUUUGUAUUUGCGGGUCAUGCUUAAUACCCAGUUCUAUCAAGAUUUUCUUCUAUUUAUACGUUUUAUGCCGUUCAUUAGGAUCUAGUAUAUCUAUUUGGGGUAUUACGAAUAAUAUUUGUACUGGGCUUUUUUUAUUAUGAAGGGAAUGCUGCUUAGGAAGCUAAAUCUUAUACGUCUAAACUUUGUUGUUCUUUUGUUUAUAUAUUUGAUAUUAGUCUUUUUCUUCUUAGGGAUUUAUGCAUCUGUUGUUUGAAUCUGUUUCUAAUUUCAAGAUGGUAUUUUUUGGAUGAAUUGCAUGCUGUUGAAUAAAAGCCCUAAAUUCAAUGGAUUAGUUUUCUUCUCCUGUUAUUUGCUCUAAAUUCUAUGAAAUGGUUUGUAUCUUUAUGUUUUAAUUUUUUACAUGUAAAAGGGAUUGUGUUCUUAUUAAUAAUACAAGUUCUAAAUGAUUCUCAUUUGUAACAACUGUUAUCUGGAAUUUGCUUUGCUUGCUUUAGUAGCCUGAUUAUUGAUCUUAGUGUUCGUCUUUCUUCCCCUGUUUAUCAGAAAACUGCACAUGCCCACUGCCCAAUCAUGGAAAACUCGUUUCUAGAGGUAUUAAUCUGUGUAGAGGUAGUGAUGAAUAUCAAUUUUGGCUGAGGGGAUCUUGUACACAGUCCUUGCUCUUAAAGUUGUACCGAAUUUUUUUACUGUUUUCUUCUCAGCUUGCACGAAUUAGCUUUGAAGUGAUGAUUGGUCUAAAUAAUGGCUUGCUAUUCGUUUUUUAAUUCGAGUUGUUUUUCUAGAGGGAUGUUAGAUUGUAACCGCCUAAGCCCACCGCUAGCAAAUAUUGUCCUCUUUGGGUUUUCUCUUUCGAAAUUUUUAAAACGCCUAUGCUAGGGAGAGAUUUCUAGACCUUUAUAUAGAAUGCUUCAUUCCCCCCUCCAACCACGUAGAUGAGGAACAUUGAGUUUUGAAGUUCAUGGAGGAACUUAUGAAAUAUUUUAUUUUUGAGACUCAAAAUACUUGCUUUGCUUUAAAAAUUACAUCGGCCCGAUGAUGGAAUACUCCGAUUGGAGCAGUUACUAAUGAUCUUUAUUACUAGCCUUUGCCAUUAACCAGCACAUACAUAAUCUCUCUCUCUCUCUCUCUCUAUAUAUAUAGAUAUAUAUAUAUAUGUAUAUAUAUAUAUCUACACACAUAUCCAUCUAUAAU